CCUACGGGUGGCAGCAGUCGAGAAUCAUUCACAAUGGGGGAAACCCUGAUGGUGCGACGCCGCGUGGGGGAAUGAAGGUCUUCGGAUUGUAAACCCCUGUCAUGUGGGAGCAAAUUAAAAAGAUAGUACCACAAGAGGAAGAGACGGCUAACUCUGUGCCAGCAGCCGCGGUAAUACAGAGGUCUCAAGCGUUGUUCGGAAUCACUGGGCGUAAAGCGUGCGUAGGCUGUUUCGUAAGUCGUGUGUGAAAGGCGCGGGCUCAACCCGCGGACGGCACAUGAUACUGCGAGACUAGAGUAAGGGAGGGGGAACCGGAAUUCUCGGUGUAGCAGUGAAAUGUGUAGAUAUCGAGAGGAACACUCGUGGCGAAGGCGGGUUCCUGGACAUUAACUGACGCUGAGGCACGAAGGCCAGGGGAGCGAAAGGGAUUAGAUACCCUGGUAGUC
rnacentral:rRNA from 1 species